rnacentral:rRNA from 1 species
GACGAACGCUGGCGGCGUGCUUAACACAUGCAAGUCGAACGAAGUGGCGAACGGGUGAGUAACGCGUAAUCAACCUGCCCUUCAGAGGGGGACAACAGUUGGAAACGACUGCUACUACCGCAUACUGAAGGUGGGGAUUGCGUCUGAUUCGCAAGUUGGAGGGGUAACCGCCCACCAAGGCGAUGAUCAGUAGCCGGUCUGGGGGGGUGAACGGCCAAAUUGGGACCGAGGAACGGCCCAAACUCCUACGGGAGGCAGCAGUGGGGAAUCUUCCGCAAUGGAGGGAAGUCUGACGGAGCAACGCCGCGUGAGUGAAGACGGGCUUCGGGUUGGAAAGCUCUGUUAAUCGGGACGCGGUACCGGAAUAGAAAGCCACGGCUAACUACGUGCCAGCAGCCGCGGUAAUAC